rnacentral:rRNA from 1 species
AGAGUUUGAUCAUGGCUCAGAGUGAACGCUGGCGGCAGGCCUAAUACAUGCAAGUCGAACGGCAGCACAGCAGAGCUUGCUCUGUGGGUGGCGAGUGGCGGACGGGUGAGGAAUACAUGGGAAUCUGCCCAGUCGUGGGGGAUAACGUAGGGAAACUUACGCUAAUACCGCAUGCGCCCUUCGGGGGAAAGCCGGGGACCGUAAGGCCUGGCGCGAUUGGAUGAGCCCAUGUCGGAUUAGCUAGUUGGCGGGGUAAAGGCCCACCAAGGCGACGAUCCGUAGCUGGUCUGAGAGGAUGAUCAGCCACACUGGAACUGAGACACGGUCCAGACUCCUACGGGAGGCAGCAGUAGGGAAUAUUGGACAAUGGGCGCAAGCCUGAUCCAGCCAUGCCGCGUGAGUGAAGAAGGCCCUCGGGUUGUAAAGCUCUUUUGUCCGGAAAGAAAAGCGCCGGGUUAAUACCCUGGUGUCCUGACGGUACCGGAAGAAUAAGCACCGGCUAACUUCGUG